UUGCCUUCGAGGUGCAGGAGAAGAAAAAAAUUCUUUUUCUCUCUACUUGUCUCAGAUUCGUUGGCUGGGGCCCUGUGAAUAGACCAAGAAAAACCGGAUUAACAAGAGAAAAACAAACAGAAGUUUGUUGACAUGUACAUCAAGCACACACAUGGGACCACCCAGUGCUGAGUACCUCAAAGCGGGGUUAGAAUGCGGGCUUACAUAGCAUCUCGGCAAAAGACGAAUACAUUGCUUGAGAAGUGACCUGACAAAGGAAAAGGACUUUUGUUUCUAGGCUGGCAAGUUGUGGGAAGGUAACUACGUGGGGAAACUAAUGGAAGAUGAGGACUAGUUCGUCAGGAAAAAAUUAUCCCCAGGUGGCUUGGAUGACCCACCGGGUUUUGGAACCACCACCGUCAUCCAUGACACCAGCCCAGUCAAGUGCAAUGUCAGCCUUGAGUUUGUGAAGACCCCAGGUUACCCAGAAGUUAUUUGUGAGUGGUGCUGUCUGGAACACAUGGCCUUCGAGGCAGGAAAGAGAGAUGGUGGAAGCAUCUGGCUCUUAAAUGCCUCAGUCCAGAAGGGACACAUGGAAGUUCUGUUCACUUCAUUGGCCAGAACUCAUCACACGGCUUCAAUCCAACUGCAAGGGAGUCUGGGCAACACGGGAGCACACGGAUAUUUGGGGUCUCCCUCACCAUUCCAGAAAAGCUGAUGGGGAGAUCCCAGGACUCCCACUCCGCCAUCCGGCAGCCCGUGAAGAUGGGUGUAGAGGAAGGAAGAGGCAAAGUCUGCAAGGCCCAAGACGGCUGCUGCCUUGGCAGCUCAAAGACCCAGAACCACCUUUCCCAUCCCCAUCAAAGACACCUGAGGACAGAGGACAGAGGACAAGUGAGCCAGCUGAGCACAGAGAGGCGCCUGGGUGGAGGCAUGCAAACCCAUGCAGCUUCUGCCGUGCUCUCUAGAACCCUUGUGCUUGGAGCCCUGAGCCACCAUGUAAGAAAUCCCACUAGCUGUGACUGCUGGAGAGCCCACGUGUACGGGCCCUGGUUGAUGGUCUCAGCUGACCUGUCCUUCACCUGUCCCAGCCCAGGCUCCAGAGCUGAGAGUGAAGAAGCCAACUUGGAAGUGGAUCCUCUGUCCCCAGCUGUUCGAGUCACCCCAGAUGAAGCCUCGACAUCAGGCAGCAGGGAAGAUCCAUCCUGGCUGCGUCUUUUCCAAAUGCCUGACCCACAGAAUCCAUAGGCGUAAUGGUGGUUGUCACACACCUCUAAGUUUUGGGGUGGUAUAUUACGCAGCAGUAGAAAACCAGAACAAUUGGCAUGUGCAUCUGUCUCCUCCCACUAGAUAGUGGACUCUUUAAUGCUGAGAUGGAGCCAAUUUCAUCUUUCUCUGUCUAGUUCCCAGCACAAGGCCUGGCCCAGAAUAAGUGCUUGUAAAUGUUUGUUGAGUAAACUAAUGAAAUUAUAUAUGGUCCAAAUUGCCCUGAGUUGGGGUUCUGCUGAAAACCUGUCUCACUAAUAUGGCAGCCAUGCGCCAAACUGGGCUACAAGAAUUAGAGAUGCACAUCCCUGCCCAGAAUUUUCAUUUCUAGGGAUUUAUCCUUUAGGUCCCCAUGUGCGUGCCGAAUGGAGUAUACACAGCGUUUUUCAUUGCAGUGUUGUUUGUAAGAACAAACAAAUGUCUAAAUGUCUUCCAUAGGGGAGUGGCCAAAUGAAUUGUGGGAGAUAUGCAGCAAUAAGAAGAAUGUAAGGGUCCUGCAUGAUUUCCAAGAUAUAUUUAUUGUCUAAGUGAAAAAGACAAGAGAGAACGGUGGGAAUGCUCUCUGUGCUGCUGCGGUACAGGAUUCCGGUGGGCAUCCAUAUGCGGUUCCCCUCUUCUUCUGGGGAACCUGGGAGGAUUUACGCUUCCGCAUCUCUUUCUCAGUUAGAGUUGCAGGAGCACGCGGCCAGCGGGCUGGGAGUGGGUGUGUUGUGAGCCACUGGCUUGAUGGCGCAGGAGUUGCCAGUGCUCUCUUCCCCGCCAUGCCCACCAGAGGGGUCUUGUGUUGCAGACGAUGUGGCUGCAGGACGGCGGGGCCUCUGCCCGCCUGGAUCACUGGGUCACCGCAUGGAGGGCAGUCGCCCUAGAGAGCCCUGAACUCACAGCAAGCUUUGUGUGAGCAAAUACAUGAGUUAAGCGUUUGGGAUCUUCUUGUCUCUGCAGCGUGGCGUAUCCUGUCCUGACUUAUACAGUUGCUGCUUGUGGAGAGGGCAUGGGUGUGGGGUAGGGAAUAUGUCUAUGUAUUUGCUUGUGUGUCCCUCAGAUAUCUUUGGGAAGAUUCCUAACAAUUAUUAACACUAGUUACCUCCAGAAAGGGGAACUGUGUGGCGGGGGAAUGGAGUUGAGAGGGAUAAUGUUCACUAUAGAUAUUGAAUACUUUUUGAAUUUGGAAGUAUGUAUUACCUCUUCUAAAGGAAAUCUUAAUAUUUGUGCCACACAGUUUGACCUGGAACAGAAUUUCCCAAACUUCAAUCAUUCACACUCCAUGUUCAACAGUUUGUGCCAUUUUCAUGUACCACCUGUCCUCUUUUUAUCUUAAUAGUCUUCUUUAAAUAGCUUCAAUUUGAAAAAAAUAGACUCAUUGAAAAGGAAACUUUACUUUGCCGUCCUGAAAGGAAAAUUGGUAUCCUUUGCCAUAUAACAUUGAUAGUCAUGAAAAUGAAUACGAUGGGAAAAACGUAACUUUGAAAACUUAGGAUAACUUUUCUUCUCUUACAGCCUUUGAAUCUGAGGCCAGCCCCUUAUUUAUUGAGAAAGGGGAUUAGCAGGGCCAGAGAGGUGUUAAAGACACAAGACCAAACUGAGACUUUCUCAUAAUUACAAGGCUUUUGAGAUAGUUGAAGAAGGAGCUAUUUUUUCAUUAUGAAAUUCAGUGUUACUUAAUUUUCUGUCCAUUCGCACCAAAAAUUACCUUGUGUAGCAUCUAAAAUGAUCUCGUGUCCCUUUGUGGGUCUGUCUAUGACAGGGACGAUCAGGGCUCUCCGAUAUCCGUGUACUUCUCGAAAUUUCUCAGUGGUCUGUGCAGAUGCUUGGGAUCAUGUGACCAGUUGUGGCCAAUGGCCUCUGAGUGGUAGUGUCGUCAGUCAGUUUUGGGCUGUGGCA